AGGUGACAGCCGCUAAGGUUGAGUGGCGGCGUCCUGAAAGUCAGGAACCUUCUGUGGCUCCAAAACGUGGGGUUUCCUCGACAGUAGUGAGGGUGGAAGUUUCCAGGCGGCCCAGCAGGUCCGAAACCUGGAGGCUCUUUAUCAUAUAAAUCCGUGCAACGAAAGAAACUAAAGCGACCCAUCCUUCGACAGACGUUCUGCAUCGAGGAGACAAGGUUAUUUAUUUAUAACACUCGAGGGGUAAUUUAGAGUCACCUACUUAUGUAAAGAAUUGCCCUAAGCAGACGUACUGACAGAACCCUGUAAUUCCAGAACUUGACAGGUGAAGGCUCAAGAUUCCAGGAGCCAACUGAAGCCCCUUGAGACCCUGUCUCAAACACAAAAUGAAAGGUCAGAAGUAAUAGACCUUUGCUGUGAUAUGUGUGUGCAGAAAUCCGUAAAGUAAAGUAGAAAGGAAGAAUACGCUAAGCGAGCCUUUGCCUGAAACCACAUUUCUUCGGUUUGGUUGUAGAUAAGGCAAAAAAAAAAAAAAAAAAAAAAAAAACGAAAUCCGACCCUAUAGGGAGAUGAUGCCAGGUCUCAAAGGACUUUUGAAUGAAAGUGGAGGCUGGCCAGAAGUGUGUGUUGCUCUAGGAUGGAAAGUCACAGAAUCAAUGAUAUCCUUGCCAGCAACAAUGGGGAUGGGGUGGAGCUCUAACAGGGAAGCCCUUGGUCUUCCUAUGAGGAUACACAAAGUUGUAGUAUUGCACCUUUUUACUUCCUAGCAUCCUCCAGUACUUCCCAUUUUUCUGCAUGAUGAUGAAAAAAGUUCUCAGUCUGACAGUGGAGAGCUGGCAAAGGCUGUAGCGGGGAACAAAGGAACGCACCCAUAUCCUCCUCAGCAAUUACAUGCAUGUGUUAUUGAAACAGUCUUGCUGUGGUUCAGGCAUGCCUUGGACUCAGCCUCCCCAUUCUUAAGAUAACAUCUAAUAACCUUGCUAAGUAAGGAAGAGCCCAAUGCAGGACAAGAUGUUGCACUUCUGUGACACCAGCACUAGAGAGGGGGAGGCAGGAGUUUAAAAUCAUCCUGGGCUACACAAUGAGUUGGAGGCCAGCCUACUGGAUAACACUGCGUGGCAAUAAGUAAAAAAAAAAAUCAUAAAAUUCAGACAGAAAAGAACCAAAAAGAAUGUCAGCAUAUGAUUAGCAAGUAGAAGAAAGAAAUAUGGGGCUGAAGGGUAAUAAGAGGAUCGGAGGAUGUAAUGCAGAGAGUCAAGAGGCUGUCUGGUGAGACGUCUCAGUGGAUAAAACCAUGCACUGCUCUCACAGAGGACUGGAGCUCAGUUCCCAGUAUGCACAUUGUGCAGCUGGCAACUGCCUAUAAUUCCAGGGAUCCAACACCAUCUCCUGGCCUCUAGAAACACAGCACUCCUGUGCCCUCUGUCCUCACAGGCACCAGGCAAACAAUGAAUACAGGCAAAUCACUGACUUAUACAAAUCAACAUGAAUCAAGAAUCAGGGUGAUAGCCAGGCAUGGUAGCACACGCCUUUAAUCCUAGCAGAUUUCUGAGUUCGAGGCCAGCCUGGUCUACAAAGUGAGUUCCAGGACAGCCAGGGCUAUACAGAGAAACCCUGUAU
rnacentral:lncRNA from 1 species